UAGCCAAGUCUCAUCCAGCACUCUAGUAGCAAUUUGGCUUCCCAUGUGGACUUUCUUCAAGGGGAGAGAAUGCACUGGCCAGCCAACAUGAGUAUUCUGGUCCUUGUAAUUUGAAAUUGGUUUCUGGUUUGUACUUCUUUCUCCUGUUGUUCCUCCAAAAGAGUGGAAGCCACGAGCAUCCUAUGAUGACAUUGAUGAUUUGGUCAUUCCUGCCCCCAUUCAGCAGCUGGUGACGGGGCAGUCUGGCCUCUUUACUCAGUACAACAUACAGAAGAAAGCCAUGACUGUUCGAGAGUUCCGCAAGAUAGCCAAUAGCGAUAAGUACUGUACCCCACGCUAUAGUGAGUUUGAAGAGCUCGAGCGGAAAUACUGGAAAAAUCUUACAUUCAAUCCUCCAAUCUAUGGUGCAGAUGUGAAUGGUACCCUCUAUGAAAAGCAUGUUGAUGAGUGGAAUAUUGGCCGGCUGAGAACAAUCCUGGACUUGGUGGAAAAGGAGAGUGGGAUCACCAUUGAGGGUGUGAACACCCCAUACCUGUACUUUGGCAUGUGGAAGACAUCCUUUGCUUGGCACACUGAAGACAUGGACCUCUACAGCAUCAACUACCUGCACUUUGGAGAACCAAAGUCCUGGUACUCUGUUCCACCUGAGCAUGGAAAGCGGUUGGAACGCCUCGCCAAAGGCUUUUUCCCAGGAAGUGCUCAAAGCUGUGAGGCAUUUCUCCGCCACAAGAUGACCCUGAUUUCCCCGUUAAUGCUGAAGAAAUACGGAAUUCCCUUUGACAAGGUGACUCAAGAGGCUGGAGAGUUUAUGAUCACUUUCCCUUAUGGUUACCAUGCCGGCUUUAACCAUGG
rnacentral:sRNA from 1 species